rnacentral:tRNA from 1 species
GCAGCAAUCGUCCAGAGGAAGGGCACCGGCCUUCCAAGCCGGGAACGCGGGUUCGAGUCCCGUUUGCUGCUCCA